CAAACAAGCAUCAUUAAUUUUUCUUUUUAAUUUUUAUGUUUGAAUUUAUUUACAAAAUUAAACUAACACAUUGCAAAAAGACAGAGAGAGAGAGAGCGAAGGAAACCGGCAGAUAGAGAUAGAUAGAUAGAUAGAGAUAGAUAGAUAUAGAGAUAGAUAGACAGAUAGAUAGACAGAGAUAGAUAGGUAGAGAUAGAUGGACAGAUAGAGAUAGAUAGACAGAUAGAGAUAGAUAGAUAGAUAGGUAGAGAGAUAGAUAGACAGAUAGAGAUAGAUAGAUAGAUAGACAGACAGAUAGAUAGACAGAUAGAGAUAGAUAGAUAGAGAUAGAUAGACAGAUAGAGAUAGAUAGACAAACAGAUAGAUAGAUAGAUAAACAAGCUGGUUGACAAACAGACAGACAGAUAGAAAAAAAAACUAUUUCUUUCUUCAUCUUUGUUGUCUCUGUAUAUUCCUAACAUAUCUUUUCUUGCUUCAAAGUCCAAGUUGAACAUUUUGGUGUCAGUGUGGGUUGUCCAGAUCCAUAAACAUUUACAUUCAUUUCAGAAGUUUCGUUUUGUUUUUUGGGUUUUUUUUUUUGGGGGGGGGGUUGUCUUUUUCAUUUGUUGUUGUUGUAGUUACUGUUCAUGUUGUUGUUGGUUGCGGCGAUGGUGGUGGUGGUUGUAGCAGUGGUGAUGUGAUGGUUGUGGUGGCGGUAGUGAUGGUUGUGAUGGUAAAGGUGUUUGUGGUCGUGGUGGUGGUAUUGUUGUUGCUAAUGUUGUAGUUGUUAAUGUUAUGGUUGGUAGUGGUGGUGGUGGCAGUGGUGAUGUGAUGGUUGAGGUGGUUGUGGUGGCGGUAGUGAUGGUUGUGAUGGUAAAGGUGUUUGCGGUCGUGGUGGUGGUAUUGUUGUUGCUAAUGUUGUAGUUGUUAAUGUUAUGGUUGGUGGUGGUGGUGGUGGUGGUGGUGGUGACAGUAGUAGUUGUAAAGAUGGUUGCGUUGAUGGUGAUGAUUGAGGUGGUGGUGGUGGUGGUGGUGUUAAUACUGUUGAUGGGAAUGGUGGUGGUGAUGGAGAUGGAGGUUGUGUUAAAUGUAAUUGUUCUUGUGAUUGUUGUUGUUGUUGUUUCCGGGACAACAAAAAUUGUGUCCCUCGGAAAUAUCAGAACUUUUUUUCGCUUACAAAAAAAAAAAGAAAAAAAAAAGGGAUCGGGGAACAGAAAAAAAAAAGGGAUUUCAGGAUCCGUUGUUUAUAUGUGGCAUUACUAGACUGGGAUUAAAUACUUAAGGAUUAGGGCAGGAUUAGACCCCUGGAAAGACAGGUUCACUUCCAGAUUAGGGAACUGGGGUCUAUAGGGAGAAGAGAUAGGUCUGGAGAUCAAAGUUUAUGUAUGGAUCGGGGAUUGGGGAUAAUAUAGGUUUAUGCAUGACUAGGGGCCUGGAGACAAGGGUUUAUGAAUGGAUUAAGGUUCUAGGGACCAGUGUUUACAUCCAGUCAAGAGACAGAUUAUACAUGGAUCAGGGGACAGGGAAUUAUAGGGGUUUGUGUGUGGGUCAUGGUUAUGGAAACUAGAUUUAAUAAUGGAUCAGGAAACUGAGGAUUAUAGAGGCUUAUGUGUGGAUUAGGGCCUUGGAGACAGGUUUAUGUAUGGAUUAGAAGCCUUGAGAUAGAUUAAGGGUCUGGAGAUCAAGGUUUAUAUGGAUUAGGGUUCUGGAGAUAGGCAUUUAUGUAUAGAUAGGGAUAUUAAAUCCCUAUCCAUAUAUAAAUCCCAUUUAAUAUGGGAUUAAGGACUGGGAUAGGGAUUUAUUCAGGGAUUAAGAUUUAAUGUGAGAUUUCAGACAAGAAAUAGGGUUUACAUAUAGAAUAAGUUCAAUGUGGCUCAGGGAACAGGGAAUUUGGGGUUAUUUACAGAUAGGGAUUAAUGGAUUAACUAUGAGAUUAGUGGUCUGGAAAUAGGGCAUAAGGGGUCGAAGUUUAAUAUAGGAUCAGUGAACAAAAUGUAGGAGUUUAUACAUAACUGGGGUUGUGCGUUGGAUUUUAGCGAUGAGGGGGUCUGUCGUAGGGAUGUGGGGAUGGUUGGCAGGAUGUGUGGGGAAGAGGGUCUUGGGAGUAUUUGUAUUAUUUUAAAUCGUUAUUGGUGACCAAUAGUGUUGUCGUUUAGGGUUUCUAACAAGGUCCAGUCUCCGGAUCACUGGGUUUUAGUGGGCUGGAGGGUGUGAAGGAAGGAAGGUCUGUCAGAAAGUUUCUUUAUAAAAGGGGACCACAAUGUGGUCGCUCAAACUGUUAGAAAUAGCAACACAAGCCUUCUUGAAAUCACGUCAUACUAUUUUAAACAAGGAAGAGCACAUUAGAUAAUGUAGUCCUAGAUACACUAUGCCUGAAUAAAAGACAGGAUGGUCAUAACUAGAACACCUUUAAUCAUAGGUCUGCUGGAUCAGAACUAACCUGGGGCUAAAAAAAUAAUAACAAGGAAGGACAUAUUAGAUAAUGUAGUCCUAGGUACACUAUAUCUCAACAGAAGACAGGAUGGUCAUGGCUGGAACAUCUUUGAUCAUAGGCUUAUCAAAGCUGACAUAGAGUUAAACAACAAGAAAGGACACAAUUAGAUAAUGUAGUCCUAGAUACACUAUGUCUGAUUAAAAGACAGGAUGGUCACAGCUGGAACACCUCCGAUCAUAGGUUUACUGGAUCAGGACUGACCCGGGGCUAAACAACAUCAAAUUCAACCACAUAUCAUUCCACUAUUUUAGUUCUGGACGGUCUUGGAGGCUGUUUUUUAGCCCCAGGUCAGCCCUGAUCCACCACACCUAUGAUCAAUGUCGUUUCAACUGUGACCAUCCCACCUUUUAUUCAGGCAUAGUGUAUCUAGGAUCACAUCAUCUGAUGUGUCCUUCUUUGUUGUUGCUGAUGUUGAUGUUGUUGUUUAGCAGCAGGUCGGUGUUGAUCCACCAGAACCAUGAUGGAAAGUAUAUCUAGGACUACAUUAUCCAAUGUGCCCUUCCUGGUUAUUUAACCACAGGUCAGACCUCAUCCAGCAGACCUACAAUGAAAGGUGGUUACUCUUUUACUUGUUUCAGUCAUUUGACUGCGGCCAUGCUGGAGCACCGCCUUUAGUCGAGCAAAUCGACCCCGGGACUUAUUCUUUGUAAGCCCAGUACUUAUUCUAUCGGUCUCUUUUGCUGAACCGGUAAGUGACGGGGACGUAAACACACCAGCAUCGGUUGUCAAGCAAUGCUAGGGGGACAAACACAGACACACAAACAUAUACACACACAUAAAUAUAUAUAUAUACAUAUAUACGACAG
rnacentral:lncRNA from 1 species